UAACGGUUUAGUGAUGUUUUGGCAGU
rnacentral:piRNA from 1 species